rnacentral:rRNA from 1 species
CCUACGGGAGGCAGCAGUGGGGAAUAUUGCACAAUGGGCGAAAGCCUGAUGCAGCAACGCCGCGUGAGCGAUGAAGGCCUUCGGGUCGUAAAGCUCUGUCCUCAAGGAAGAUCAUGACGGUACUUGAGGAGGAAGCCCCGGCUAACUACGUGCCAGCAGCCGCGGUAACACGUGGGGGGCUAGCUUUAUACGGAAUUACGGGGCGAAAGGGGUGCGUAGGUGGUUUCUUAAGUCAGAGGUGAAGGGCUACGGCGCAACCGGAGUAAGCCUUUGAAACUGGGGAUCGUGAGUGCAGGAGAGGAGAGUGGAAUUCCUAGUGUAGCGGUGAAAUGCGUAGAUAUUAGGAGGAACACCAGUGGCGAAGGCGGCUCUCUGGACUGUAACUGACACUGAGGCACGAAAGCGUGGGGAGCAAACAGGAUUAGAUACCCUUGUAGUC